GCCCCUGUAGCCCAACUGGAAGAGGCACCGCGUUCAGGCCGCGGCCAGUCCAGGUUCAAAUCCUGGUGGGGGCA
rnacentral:tRNA from 1 species